GCCUGUUUUCCAUUGUGUUUUGUGGGUGGUUGUUUUCAGUCUUUGUGUUUGCACCAGACAGAACUGUUUUGGUUGUUUCUUUGUUGUUCAGUUUUGAUUAUUAUUAAAAAUCAUAAGCACUUACCAUGCUGCACCUUGGUCCUCACCUUCUUCCACCGACGACAGCCAUUACAGCAUCCCAAACAGCAUCCCAAACGGCCGCUGCACCAAAAGCAACUAUCAGUCCCCAAAAGGCUGUGGCUCCAAGGUUCUCUGGCCGUUGGUUGGAGUGCUGCUGGACCUGGCUGUGGCUCCAAGGUUCUCUGGCCAUUGGUUGGAGUGCUGCUGGACCUGGCUGUGGCUCCAAGGUUCUCUGGCCAUUGGUUGGAGUGCUGCUGGACCUGGCUGUGGCUCCAAGGUUCUCUGGCCAUUGGUUGGAGUGCUGCUGGCCCUGGCUGUGGCUUUGAUCUCCACACUGUACUACUUCAGCCGAAAGGACCAUUGGAGUAAUUCAGAGCGCCCAGACUGCAGACUCAGAGACAGUGCUGUAUUUACUGUAUGUGUCCUUACAGGGAUCUCCUUCCACAUUAUGAAUCUGAAGACUGUUUUAUUAGCAUCUUACUUUUCUAUUCUUUGUUCAUUACAACGAAGAAACAGCCUGAAGUUCCAACUGUCUAAAAGAGAACAUUUAGGAUUCUGUUCACAAUGUUAAUGUCUCUGGCUAUGGAUUUGUAAUUAAGGGAAUGUAUCAUAUAUAAAACCUUUAUACUGAGCAGGUAUUACUCUCAUGUGUGCUAGUACUGCACCAAUGCUAUGCAUUCUGCUGCAGUAGCCUAAUGUUAUAAUUAUUGGAUGUGUGCAACAUGUAUUGAUAAAUAAAAG